CGGGACCCAGGAGGCAGGACAACCUGCCAGAGAGGCUGAAGGAGGUUCUCUCGCGCUGGAUUCUCGACAAGAAAAAGGAAGAGGGUCUCCCCUGCUUCCCUCGCCCACAACAGCUGAUCUUCCAGAGGUCGGCCGUUUCGUUCCUUGUCUUCAGAAUCUGGUGGAGUUGGAGGCAGACACCUGAGGUCAGGAAGGGAAGAGCCCAGGCCGACUAAAACAAUUCCCGUGCUCGCUGGAGAAUCAGCAGGUGCAUUUGCGUCUUAAAAACACCUUCAGUGGCACCAGCUUCCCCCCACGGCACCGGUUCUCGUCACUCUCCGAGGCUGCCCUCACCUUCGCAGGCCGUGAAUUGUUAAGAGAAUUUAGCCACAAACCAGGAUCACUGGAGAGCUGGAAGUACCUUGGAAGGGCUGAAUGGCAAAGGACUCAGGAGGACACCCGAGGAAUCACUUGCUUGGAUUGGAAGCUGCCAGAGUGUCAGAGCUGAGGGUUGCUAUCCUGAGGAGGCCAGGACCUCAAGUGAAGAUGAUAAAGGAAGCGGGAGAGGAGGAGCUGGGUGUGAGAAAGCGGAGACCCGUGGGAGGGACAAUGGAGUCCCAAACUGGACGGAGACCUGGAGAGCAGCGGGGAGCCCCCCAUGGCCACCAUCAAUACAGAAAUACAGACAGCAACCAGCACCUCUGUAAGUGGGAUGAACAGGUCUUAAAUUCCACUGGGGCCUCCACUCGGAACCCCGGGUCUGCUGGCUGGAUGAGCGAGAUCACAGCAUGGGGACUGGGCUCCCCCAAGGGCAGUGUGCAGGUGAUAUUUCCAUUGCUGGCCUGGUGACCACACGGAGCUUCUGCGACAUGGCGCUGGGCUGGAGAGUCCAGGUGGCUACAGGGCUCAGGGGUGAGACCACACAACCCAGUUGUCUCAUCUCCUUCCAAACUUAGUCUCAGAUUUGGGGUCCUCCACGUCUUCACCUGGUAUCAAAUGCUUGUUAACGUCACAGCCACCAUGCGGCAAUCACGCGUGUGUUUUCAUCCUCCCGAUGGCCUGUGAGUCCAGCAGCGGCCCGUUUUAUUUUUCAUUCAGAAACCUGAGAGGUGAAAGCUGAGUCACUUUUCCAAAGUCACCGAGUGGCUCAGUUGCAGGGCCAGAACAAAAACCAGGGCUCGGGCCAGUCCCUCCACCUCUGCCUUCCAGCCAGAGUGUCCAGGGACAGCAGGAGCAGCUGUGUGGGGAAAUUGCAGUGACACAUGCGCAAAGCAAAACAUGAUCAAAUUAAAGAAAUGCAAUUCCCAAAUAAAAAUUCUCCGCAAAGUAACACAAGGAGAGAAAACCAAACACCGCAUGUUCUCACUCAUAAGUGGGAGCCGAACAAUGAGAACACUUGGACACACGGAGGGGAACAUCACAUACCGGGGCCUGUCGGGGGCUGGGGGGCUGGGGGGCUGGGGGAAGGAGAGCAUUAGGACAAAUACCUAAUGUAAAUGACAAGUUGAUGGGUGCAACAACCAACAUGGCACAUGUAUACCUGUGUAUCCAGUCUGCAGUGGUGCACAUGUACCCCAGAACUUAAAGUAUAAUAAUAGAAAAUAAAUAAAGGGAAAUUAAAUAAGAAAAAAAAAGAAACUCCAGUACGUUAAAAGAAAAUACCUUAAAAUAUCCUCCAGACAGCCCAGUGCCCGUGGGUUUCUCUGGUGUCCGACCUCACAGGAUAAUUUUUGUGCCUUACAUGUCACAGAAGCAGUUAUAAUCAGAGACGGAGGGCGCUUCUCAUCUUUGGGAGAUGCUGAAAGGCCAGUGUCCACCGGCCCUGACAUUUCAUUUCCGCCCCCGUUUUCCUGUAAAGAGACAGAGGAAACGGGACAGCGGCCUUCGGGGUCAGCAUUCGGGAGCUGCCUGGUGGCAGGCGAGGACCCGAGGCAUUAGCGGCGUCUUCAGCUCCUGGGCCUGCUGAGCUCUGACCCACCCUCGGGUGGCUCAGAGGUGGCCGGUUCACUUCGAGAAGCCCAGGGAACAGAUUCUUCCUGAAUGAGUUUCAGAGAACAAUCUGCACUCUGGCAGCUUCCCAGCAGCUGCAAGUGGAGGUGGGAGGAGACCCGAGGUCGGGAGUCUCUAAAGUGUUUGCCUUUUUCACUCUUGAUGGAGAAAAGCCCAGAUGUGACUGUGGUUGGACGAGGUCCUGUCACAUGGCAUGUGUGGGCUCUGGGCUCACAUGGCUAUUCCGGGGGCAUCCAGGGUACUUAGGGGUCGCCCUUUAGCCUUCAGAGAGCUGCCUGGGAAGUGCUCACCUUGCGCAUAGCUGUGGCCCCUCCAGCUGCAGGAUUCCCC
rnacentral:lncRNA from 1 species